AUGGAUCAUUAACAAAGGAUAUUUAUGAAGUUAUGUGAACAGAUUUGAAUGAGAGUUAGUGAGAGCAGGAUAAGUGGGAGUAUAAGUGGGAGUAUAAGUAGGAGUAUAAGUGGCACUCUAAGUGACACUAUAACUCACACUAUAACUCACACUAUAACUCACACUAUAACUCACACUCUAAGCCCUCGCUCUUGCUGGCUCUAAGCAAAAAUGUCUAUUCAACCUGAUGUCUGCCUAGUUUUCUGAACUAAACAACUUUUAGCAACGGAUCUCUUGGCUCUC
rnacentral:misc_RNA from 1 species